CAGAGGUGCCGAGCGUUAGGCGGAAUCACUGGGCUUAAAGCGUGUGUAGGCGGAGUUCUAAGUACCUUGUGAAAUCCCACGGCUCAACCGUGGAACUGCUUGGUAUACUGGUUCUCUUGGGUCGUCUAGGGGCGAGCGGAACAAACGGUGGAGCGGUGAAAUGCGUAGAUAUCGUUUGGAACGCCAAUGGUGAAAACAGCUCGCUGGGGACGUACCGACGCUGAGACACGAAAGCCAGGGGAGCGAACGGGAUUAGAUACCCCGGUAGUCCUGGCUGUAAACGAUGUCGACUAGAUCGUAGUGGCUCUGACGCUAUUACGGUCGAAGCAAAAGUGCUAAGUCGACCGCCUGGGAAGUACGGUCGCAAGGCUA
rnacentral:rRNA from 1 species